GUCCACGCCGUAAACGAUGCUAACUCGUUUUUGGAUUUUCGGAUUCAGAGACCAAGCGAAAGUGAUAAGUUAGCCACCUGGGGAGUACGUUCGCAAGAAUGAAACUCAAAGGAAUUGACGGGGGCCCGCACAAGUGGUGGAUUAUGUGGUUUAAUUCGAUGAUACGCGAGGAACCUUACCAAGACUUAAAUGGGAAUUGACAGGUUUAGAAAUAGACCCUUCUUCGGACAAUUUUCAAGGUGCUGCAUGGUUGUCGU
rnacentral:rRNA from 1 species